AUGGUUACUGAGCUGAGACAGGGAAUGGGUCGAGUGACCCCCACCCUGACGGUGCUGCCCCCCUCCAGUGAGGAGCUGCAGCAGGAGAAGGUCACAGUCCUGUGCCUGGCCAACAAGGGCUUCCCCUCAGACUGGAGUCUGGCCUGGAAGGUGGAGGGCAGCAGCAGCAGCAGCAGCUGGGAGGAGAGCAGGAGCCCCGGGGUGCUGGAGAAGGACGGCCUCUACAGCUGGAGCAGCACCCUGAGGCUCCCUGCAGACCAGUGGAGCAAGCUGGGCUCUGUGACCUGUGAGGCCACCCAGGGCUCCCAGACUCCGCUCUCAGAGACACUGAGGAGAGACCAGUGUUCCCAGUCCUGACCUGACUCACUGGGACUCUGCUACUGGUUUUACUCUGCUCCUGCUCUCUCUCUCUGCUCUCUGUAACACUGUCUCUCUCUCUUUUA